rnacentral:rRNA from 1 species
AUGUUCAAUAGAACAGGAAUCUUGUGUGCACAUGGUCUAAAAGUGCUUGAUUUGAUGAACAUAAAGACAUUGCCGGCACAUUAUGUCUUGAAGAGGUCGACUAGAGAAGCUCGCAAUGGAAGUAUUGAAGAUAGACAAGGAAGGAAUGUGGUAGAAAAUCCAAAAAUGGAAGCUGAACUUCGAUACAAGGAUUUGUCUCAUAAAUUUCACAAAAUGGCACAAAAAGCAGCCAACUCUCCACAAUGUUGUAUUCUAUUGGAUAAUGCACUUGAUUCCGCCGCUCCGCAUAUACAUGAUUUACUCAAUGCAUCCACUAGUGCCAUGAAUGAACUAUGUAAAGACAAAGAGAAUGUUGACCCAAAUGUGCAGUAA